rnacentral:rRNA from 1 species
CAGCCGCCGCGGGAAAACGUAGGUGGCAAGCGUUGUCCGGAAUUAUUGGGCAUAAAGCGCGCGCAGGCGGAUCAGUUAGUCUGUCUUAAAAGUUCGGGGCUUAACCCCGUGAUGGGAUGGAAACUGCUGAUCUAGAGUAUCGGAGAGGAAAGUGGAAUUCCUAGUGUAGCGGUGAAAUGCGUAGAUAUUAGGAAGAACACCAGUGGCGAAGGCGACUUUCUGGACGAAAACUGACGCUGAGGCGCGGAAGCCAGGGGAGCGAACGGGAUUAGAUACCCGAGUAGUCCCUGUCUCUUAUACA